rnacentral:lncRNA from 1 species
GGUUCACACACCAGGGUCACACAGGGGUCUGGUUGGCCGCAGCAAGGCUCACAGCACGAUGGUUCGCAGGUCCCGGACUCACAGCAGAUCGGCUGGCAGCAAACAGGCUCACAGCAGGCGGGUUCGCAGCAAACAGGCUCACAGCAGAAGUAGCAGAGAAGACAGGAAACAUGAUGCAGAGACACCUUGGAAAGAUGUCCUGAAAUGACAAGACAUUGAACAGUUCCAUCAGGAGGCUUCAUCUCGCUGCCCGAGUCCUUCUCUUCAUUUCGUCUCACACACUGGGGUGGGUUGGCAGCACACGGGUCCGCAGCAGCCGCCGCCGCCAGAGCCGCAGCAGCUGCCGCAGCAGCUGCCACAGCAGCCGCA